GAGAUGUUGGGUUAAGUCCCGCAACGAGCGCAACCCUUGUCAUUAGUUGCUACAUUUAGUUGGGCACUCUAAUGAGACUGCCGGUGACAAACCGGAGGAAGGUGGGGAUGACGUCAAGUCCUCAUGGCCCUUAUAGGUGGGGCUACACACGUCAUACAAUGGCUGGUACAAAGGGUUGCCAACCCGCGAGGGGGAGCUAAUCCCAUAAAACCAGUCGUAGUCCGGAUCGCAGUCUGCAACUCGACUGCGUGAAGUCGGAAUCGCUAGUAAUCGUGGAUCAGAAUGUCACGGUGGAUACGUUCCCGGGCCUUGUACACACCGCCCGUCACAUCACGAAAGCUGGCUGUACUAGAAGUGGCCGAGCUAACCCGCAAGGGAGGCAGGUCCCUAAGGUAUGGUCAGUGAUUGGGGUGAAGUCGUAACAAGGUAA
rnacentral:rRNA from 1 species